CUUUAUCAUUGUCUCCAAAGGUGACCAUCCCUCCAUUCUUAGCAUCAAGAGUGAUGAAUUGGGAUUCAUCACCAGUCAUGUGUCUCGAGCAUCCGCUGUCAAGAUAUCAUUUCUUGUUUUCUUCUUGGGAUGCUAGACACACCUGCAAGCAAAAGUCAAGUUUUUGUUUUAGGUACCCAAGCUUUCUUGGAUCCUUUUUGGUUAGUCAUAAUGGUUCCUUUUGG
rnacentral:lncRNA from 1 species